CCUAACACAUGCAAGUCGAACGGUAACGGGAAACAGCUUGCUGUUUCGCUGACGAGUGGCGGACGGGUGAGUAAUGUCUGGGAAACUGCCUGAUGGAGGGGGAUAACUACUGGAAACGGUAGCUAAUACCGCAUAACGUCGCAAGACCAAAGAGGGGGACCUUCGGGCCUCUUGCCAUCAGAUGUGCCCAGAUGGGAUUAGCUAGUAGGUGGGGUAACGGCUCACCUAGGCGACGAUCCCUAGCUGGUCUGAGAGGAUGACCAGCCACACUGGAAUUGAGACACGGUCCAGACUCCUACGGGAGGCAGCAGUGGGGAAUAUUGCACAAUGGGCGCAAGCCUGAUGCAGCCAUGCCGCGUGUAUGAAGAAGGCCUUCGGGUUGUAAAGUACU
rnacentral:rRNA from 1 species